UGAAAUUCUACUUAAACUACUCCUUG
rnacentral:tRNA from 3 species